AUGCACACAGGUGCCGACCACGACCGCACCAGCAUGGCCAAGUGGGAUCCCUCCUACCCGCGCUCCAAGCAGCGGUCAACCCCGCCCCGCCGCAGCCUCGUGCUGCGCCGCAAGCGCUCGUCCCGCCACGUCGCGUCGGGGCUCUCCGCCAAAGACUCCAGCGCAUCCGGGGCGGAUCUGGAGCUGGCGGCGCCCAAACCGCGGCGCAGCAUUGGCGGGUCCACGGACUGGAGGGCCGGGAUGCUGCUGCCGACCACCACCACAGCCUCCUCCUCCUCCUCCGCGCGGAAGGGCAAUGGCAGCCACGCGCAUGCGAAGCGGGGCGCGCGGCUCGACGAGGCCGGCGUCGCGCACUUCGUGCGUGCGCGCUCAUACGUGGAAGAAGACGGUGGCGGGCGCGUCGAGGAUGUUCGUGGAGAGGCACCGGAGCAGCCACGUGCAGCUCAUCAGCGACAUGGUUUA
rnacentral:rRNA from 1 species